UCUGAAGUGUGGAAAAUUAAUAUGUGAAUAUACAAGCGAGCCUAUAAUUAAUAUUCCAAAUGCCUCUGCUACUUAUAUCAACGUGAGUGGACAUUGCUGUGUCACGCUGGAGUUUCCAUAUAAUGAUAAAGACAGCACAAAAAUGUGGGUGAGAGAUGGAACUGUUUGUGAUUCAAAUAAGGCUUGCAGGAAUAAGGAAUGUGUAGAUGUUGGAUUCCUGGGCUAUGACUGUACUGCAGAAAAAUGCAAUUCUCAUGGUAUAUGCAAUAAUAAAAAACACUGUCACUGUAACCCCACAUACUUACCUCCAAAUUGCCAACUUGCUCAAGAUGCAUGGCCUGGUGGAAGUAUUGACA